rnacentral:rRNA from 1 species
UGCCAGACUCCUACGGGAGGCAGCAGUGGGGGAUAUUGCACAAUGGGGGGAACCCUGAUGCAGCGACGCCGCGUGGGUGAAGGAGUAUUUCGGUAUGUAAAGCCCUAUCGGCAGGGAAGAAGCAAGACGGUACCUGACUAAGAAGCCCCGGCUAACUACGUGCCAGCAGCCGCGGUAAUACGUAGGGGGCGAGCGUUAUCCGGAUUCACUGGGUGUAAAGGGAGCGUAGACGGCCAAGCAAGCCAGGGGUGAAAGCCCGGGGCCCAACCCCGGGACUGCCCUUGGAACUGCGUGGCUGGAGUGCAGGAGGGGCAGGCGGAAUUCCUGGUGUAGCGGUGAAAUGCGUAGAUAUCAGGAGGAACACCGGUGGCGAAGGCGGCCUUCUGGACUGCAACUGACGUUGAGGCCCGAAAGCGUGGGGAGCAAACAGGAUUAGAUACCCUGGUA